GGAGGUGUACCCAAGUGGUUGAAGGGUCCGGUCUUGAAAACCGGUAGGUCCUGCGAGGGACGCAAGAGUUCGAAUCUCUUCACCUCCGCCA
rnacentral:tRNA from 1 species